rnacentral:rRNA from 1 species
AUUACCCAAUCCCGAUUCGGGGAGGUAGUGACAAGAAAUAACGGUACGGGGCCUUUAUAGGUCUCGCAAUCGGAAUGAGAACAAUUUAAAUCCUUUAACGAGGAUCAAUUGGAGGGCAAGUCUGGUGCCAGCAGCCGCGGUAAUUCCAGCUCCAAUAGCGUAUAUUAAAGUUGUUGCAGUUAAAAAGCUCGUAGUUGGAUUUCGGASSGCCCGUCGGUCCACCGCAAGGUGAGCUACUGGCGGGUCUGUUCUUCUUCGCAAAGACUGCAGGUGCACUUCGCUGUGUGCUUGUCGGAUUUGUGACGUUUACUUUGAAAAAAUUAGAGUGUUCAAAGCAGGCUUUCGCUUGAAUACAUGAGCAUGGAAUAAUGGAAUAGGACUUUGGUUCUAUUUUGUUGGUUUCUAGGACCGAAGUAAUGAUUAAGAGGGACAAACGGGGGCAUCUGUAUUUCGUUGUCAGAGGUGAAAUUCUUGGAUUUGCGAAAGACAAACAACUGCGAAAGCACUUGCCAAGAGUGUUUUCAUUAAUCAAGAACGAAAGUUAGAGGAUCGAAGACGAUCAGAUACCGUCCUAGUUCUAACCAUAAACGAUGUCGACUAGGGAUCGGCGGGCGUUAUUUUAUGACCCCGUCGGCACCUUACGGGAAACC